rnacentral:rRNA from 1 species
UACGUAGGGUGCGAGCGUUGCCCGGAUUUAUUGGGCGUAAAGGGCGCGUAGGCGGCCACGCACGUCCGUUGUGAAAUCGCCCGGCUCAACUGGGCGGGGUCAGCGGAUACGGUGUGGCUCGAGCAAGCUAGGGGGCAAUGGAAUUCCCGGUGUAGUGGUGGAAUGCGUAGAUAUCGGGAGGAACACCAGUGGCGAAGGCGAGUCCCUGGACAACUCCUGACACUGAGGCACGAAAGCUAGGGGAGCAAACAGG